GUCCACGCCGUAAACGAUGGAUACUAGCUGUUGGGGGUAACUUCAGUGGCUAAGCGAAAGUGAUAAGUAUCCCACCUGGGGAGUACGUUCGCAAGAAUGAAACUCAAAGGAAUUGACGGGGCCCGCACAAGCGGUGGAGCAUGUGGUUUAAUUCGAUGAUACGCGAGGAACCUUACCAAGGCUUAAAUGUAGAUUGACCGGUUUUGGAAACAGAUCUUUCGCAAGACAAUUUACAAGGUGCUGCAUGGUUGUCGU
rnacentral:rRNA from 1 species